UGGCGGACGGGUGAGUAACGCGUAAAGAACUUGCCCUUUAGACUGGGAUAACAGAGGGAAACUUCUGAUAAUACUGGAUAAGUUAGUAUAUCGCAUGAUAUGCAAAUGAAAGCUACGGCACUAAAGGAGAGCUUUGCGUCCUAUUAGCUAGUUGGUAAGGUAAGAGCUUACCAAGGCGAUGAUAGGUAGCCGGCCUGAGAGGGUGGACGGCCACAAGGGGACUGAGAUACGGCCCAGACUCCUACGGGAGGCAGCAGUU
rnacentral:rRNA from 1 species